rnacentral:rRNA from 1 species
CGGUUGAUCCUGCCGGAGGUCACUGCUAUUGGGAUUCGACUAAGCCAUGCGAGUCGAGAGGGUUCGGCCCUCGGCAGACGGCUCAGUAACACGUGGAUAAUCUGUCCUUAGGUGGAGGAUAAUCUCGGGAAACUGAGAAUAAUACUCCAUAGAUCUAGGAUGCUGGAAUGCACCUAGGUUGAAAGUUCCGGCGCCUAAGGAUGAGUCUGCGGACUAUCAGGCUGUAGUCAGGGUAAAGACCUGACUAACCUACGACGGAUACGGGUUGUGAGAGCAAUAACCCGGAGACGAUAUCUGAGACACGAUAUCGGGCCCUACGGGGCGCAGCGGGCGCGAAACCUUCACACUGUGCGAAAGCGCGAUGAGGGAAUCCCAAGUGUUUGCUCGUAAGAGUAAACUGUUUCUAUGUCUAAAAAGCAGAGAGAGUAAGAGCUGGGUAAGACGGGUGCCAGCCGCCGCGGUAAUACCUGCAGCUCAAGUGGUGACCACUAUUAUUGGGCCUAAAACGUUCGUAGCCGGUUUAGUAAAUGCCUGGGUAAAUCGAGCCGCUUAACGGUUCGAAUUCCGGGUAGACUGCUAAACUUGAGACCGGGAGAGGCUAGAGGUACUCCUGGGGUAGAGGUGAAAUUCUGUAAUCCUGGGGGGACCACCAGUGGCGAAGGCGUCUAGCUAGAACGGGUCUGACGGUGAGGGACGAAGCCCUGGGGCGCAAACCGGAUUAGAUACCCGGGUAGUCCAGGGUGUAAACGCUGCUUGCUUGAUGUUAGUUGGGCUCUGAGCCCGAUUAGUGUCGGAGAGAAGUUGUUAAGCAAGCUGCCUGGGAAGUACGGUCGCAAGGCUGAAACUUAAAGGAAUUGGCGGGGGAGCACAGCAACGGGUGGAGCGUGCGGUUUAAUUGG